CAUAAAUAUUAUAAAUUUAUUUGCCUUCAAAAUUAUCUUUUUCCUCUGUAAGUUGCAUUUUUAUGCCAGCUAAGAAGUGCCCCCUACCAUUCAUCCAAUAUUUCUUUCAUAUUCAGUUGCAGUUUGCAAUUUGCAGUUGCUUUAUCUGCCCCUCGCUACAUCAUUCAGUGGCAGGCACUGCCUCUGCGGACUCCAAAAUAAUUAUCGCUUAAUGAUGUGAAAUGGGAAACAGCGCAGCGAAACUCUACAUAAAUUUUGUUUCUGACUUUUUUUUGGCACUGCUCUGAAAUCUCAGUUCAACGAACUUCCGCCUCAACCAGAAACCGACAUUGGCAUGGCAUUUUAAUGUGCAUUUAUUUAUGGCAGAGCCUCUGGGCAAAAAUGAAAAUUGAAAUGAUUUUGCACAUAAAUUGAAUUGCUCAAGAUGAUUCAAUCAGGACAGAGCAGCGCAGAUCCGAGCAGAGACAAUUGUUGGCUAUAAUUGAAAUGUGAUUUAUGGCAACUAUUUAAAGUGCAGAUGGGCGUGGCAGUGUGGUUGCCAGAGCGAAAAAAAAAAACCCAAUUAGAGCGCUAAUUAAUUUAUUUGCUCAACAAGCCAUGUUUGCCCGCAAACUCAUUAAGUUGUCACAUGUAAUCAGUGUCGCCCAGUGGCUGCCAUCCCAUUCCCAGACCACCACAAAAGCAGGAGCCAAACAGAAAGGAGUCCUAGAAACUGAAAAAACUCAAAUUGAAAGUAACUGACCAGCAACGCAGCAACGUCAGGACAUGGUACUAGCAGUUAGGAGAGGGAGGCAGCGGGUCAGGCAUGCGGACAUGGACAGGGACAUGCACCCUGAGCAAACUUUUGCAACGUUGCAGGCGCUCUCAACUUUUAAGUGAGUGACUUAUUUUUUGUGUGCUCCCAAAAGGCAGGCGACUGAGUUUUUAGAGAUGCGAAACUUUUAAAUCGAAGCUCUGCCAAAGUGGCAUACUCAUCGUCAUUGACAACACAAACACCAGACUCGGCCCAGGCCCAGGCCUCAACGCAAUUGAGUUCCGAACUGCAUGCGAGGAGUUUCCUAAACGAUGGAG
rnacentral:lncRNA from 1 species